rnacentral:rRNA from 1 species
ACCCCAAUAGCUAGCCCAACCCCAAAAACCAACAACCCCUAUUAAUAACCCCACAGUAACAAGACAUCAAUGAAUAAACCAUUCUUCCUCCCAAGUAUCUGCGACAGAAAAGGAGAUAAGGCGCAAUAGAAAAAGUACCGCAAGGGAAAGCUGAAAGAGAAAUGAAAAAAUCCAGUGAAGGAAAAUAAAGCAGAGCUUAGACCUCGUACCUUUUGCAUCAUGAAUUAGUCAGUAACACUCAAGCAAAGAGCCCUUUAUGUUUGAAACCCCGAAACUAAGCGAGCUACUCCAAGACAGCCUAUUAUAGGGCAAACCCGUCUCUGUGGCAAAAGAGUGGGAAGAGCUUUGAGUAGAGGUGACAGACCUACCGAGCCUAGUUAUAGCUGGUUGCCUGAAAAGUGAAUAGAAGUUCAGUCUCCUGAAUUCUUUAAUCGAUUAAGGUCCAACCUCCCCCAGACCAAAAGAAGUCAAGAGAAUUAUUCAAAAGAGGGACAGCUCUUUUGAACAAGGAUACAACCUUAUUAGAAGGCCAAAGAUCAUAAUACUUAAGGCAAUAUAUCCAGGUGGGCCUAAAAGCAGCCAUCCUAUCAAAAAGCGUUAAAGCUCAAGUAUAUAGCCCCAAUAAUCCCGACCAACAUUUCUUACGCCUCUUGAUAAUAUCAGGCCCUUCCAUGCAACCAUGGAAAAGAUUCUGCUAGUAUGAGUAAUAAGAGAGCCUAGUCUCUCUCGAAUGCAUCCCUGUAUGUCAGAACGAACCCCCACUGAUAAUUAACGCCCCCAAACCAAGAGGGAAGUGAGACAACUACCGCAAAGCUAGAAGUCCCCUCACAAAACAGCGUUACCCCCACACAGGAAUGCCCCACGAAAGACAAAAGGAAAAAGAAGGAACUCGGCAAACAUUGGCCUCGCCUGUUUACCAAAAACAUCGCCUCUUGCCACCCUAAUAUAAGAGGUCCCGCCUGCCCUGUGACUUGAGAGUUUAACGGCCGCGGUAUUUUGACCGUGCGAAGGUAGCGUAAUCACUUGUCUUUUAAAUGGAGACCAGUAUGAAUGGCAUAACGAGGGCUAAGCUGUCUCCUUUUUCCAGUCAAUGAAAUUGAUCUAUCCGUGCAGAAGCGGAUAUACCCACGUAAGACGAGAAGACCCUAUGGAGCUUUAGAUACUAGAAUAGCCCACGUUAAAAACCCUUGACCAUAAGGAAAAAACCAAAUGGUAACUGUUCUCAUAUCUUUGGUUGGGGCGACCGCGGAGAAACAGAAAACCCCCACGUGGAAUAAGCCAUCCCUUUAAAGCCAGAGCCACAGCUCUAACAAACAGAAAAUCUGACCAACAAGAUCCGGCAAAGCCGAUCAACGGACCCAGUUACCCUAGGGAUAACAGCGCAAUCCCCUUCUAGAGCCCAUAUCGACAAGGGGGUUUACGACCUCGAUGUUGGAUCAGGACUUCCUAAUGGUGCAGCCGCUAUUAAGGGUUCGUUUGUUCAACGAUUAAAGUCCUACGUGAUCUGAGUUCAGACCGGAGAAAUCCAGGUCAGUUUCUAUCUAUGAACAACCUCUUUUCUAGUACGAAAGGACCGAAAAGAGGGGGCCUCUACUCCAAGCAAGCCCCACCCCCACCCAGUGAUGCCCACUAAACAGGCUAAGGGGGGAGAAACAACCGCCUAAGAAAAAGGCUA